AUAUUUAAGUUGUUGCAGUUAAAAAGCUCGUAGUUGGAUCUUGGGUCGUAAGGGUCGGUCCGCCUACUCGGUGUGCACCUUCCCUUCCGUCCCUUUUGUCGGCGGCGUGCUCCUGGCCUUAAUUGGCUGGGUCGCGGUUCCGGCGCUGUUACUUUGAAAAAAUUAGAGUGCUCAAAGCAAGCUUAUGCUCUGAAUACAUUAGCAUGGAAUAACGUGAUAGGAGUCUGGUCCUAUUGUGUUGGCCUUCGGGACCGGAGUAAUGAUUAAUAGGGACUGUCGGGGGCAUUCGUAUUUCAUUGUCA
rnacentral:rRNA from 1 species